GCGUCAGAAGCGCCUGAAGUAAGAAGAGGGCGGUGCCGUCCUCGGUGUCCUGGUCCCGAGGCCAGGAAAGAGAUGAGGGCAAUUCUUUGGCGGCCCUGAGGUUCGCUGCGUCGGGGAACUCUCGAUCGGGGACAGUGAUGCUGAGGUCGCAUGUCCAGAGAGCGGCCUCCUCCAUCGGGGUAAGCUCUGCAGCUGCGGGACUUCUGUCCUGAGAUGCGCUCCACCGGGGUCCUCAUCCGGGUUGCUCAAUCCUGGCGACUCCUACCCGGGGCUCCUUCUUGGUUUGUCUCUUCCAAAGGGGAUCCUUCCUAGGAGACUGCCUUUGUCUACUUUCCAGGGGGUGGAGGGUCUUUUCCUAGAAGUUCUUUCGGGGUAUGGGGGAAGACAACCGUUUCCAAGACUUCACCUAAACUCGGAGGUUCAGCUCCCCGAGCCUCCCGUUUUUUUGUUCUUCCCUGUAAUUUUUUGUAGUCUCUCUGUCCCGCCCCGUGAGGCUGCCCGCAGACAGCCUCUUCUUAAAGAUAAACCUGGAAAGACGCCCCAAGAUUGUCUCUUUCAAUAAGGGAUGUGGGUGCCCUGCAACACUUGACUUAAGCUUAUACAGCCAGGGAGGUUGGCAGAGUCAACAAUCAAACCAAGAUGGUUUACACAUUAAUUUCUUAAUUUAGGUGGUAAAACCAAUCAAGUAAGUUGAAAGUGACAGGGAAGGUCACUCUGGCCCAGUGGGUUUAACCUCUCGUUUAUUUAUUGUCAGCAUCCAUCUCAUCUUCCUGGGGUGCAAUGUAGAUUUGCUUACUUACCAGAGAAGUGUUUGCUACUGAUGAAAGGGCCUCUUUCUUCAUAGAUCUUUUUCUCCUCCUUGGCUUCCCUAACUAAAAAAAGAACAAGCAGCUGGCUAGUGAGUAGGCUCUGUGUCUCCUCUCUUUGUGGAUUUAAGUUGGCACCUCCUGAACAAAUAAAGUAGCUAUUUGAACAGCCCUUUGGGCACCACCAAGAAGCCAUGGUUCAUUGGUUCUAAGUCAUAUAGGCUGUUUGCUCUGCCUCUGUUUGACUUAUCUUCCUUUGGUGCAUGGCAUCUUAUUCCUCUUCUGUAUUAUAUUCUCUAUUUCUUUUUCCAAAGUAGUUUCAAGGAUUGGCCGGCUACUGAAGUGCUUCAUCUUUGGCAGCUACCUGUUAUGUUCAUGUGGGUACAGGUGCUCUUUUAAAAUGUACUUUAGAGUUAAAAUAGGCUUUGCUGAUGGAAGAAGACACAUUUAAUCCCAGCACAUGGGAGGCAGAGACUCAGAUCUCUGCGAGUUUGAGGCCAGCUUAGUCUACAUAGCUAAUUCCAGGACAGCUAGGGCUGCAUAGUAAGACUGCCUCAAAAAUAGAUAGGUAGGUAGAUAGAUAGAUAGAUAGAUAGAUAGAUAGAUAAAUGAAUGGAUACAUAGAUAGAUACAUAGAUAGAAAGAUGAAUGGAUAGAUAGAUAGGCUUUAAUUCAGUAAUUUUUCCCAUUGAGACUUUUCUUUGCUGUCUCAUCCAUUUCUCCUUUUUUAUAUCAUCUUGUAGAGAGCAGAGCUCUACUUUGGAGGCUGAGGCAGGAGAAGCAGAUGCUUGAAAGUAGCCUAGUUAUGUAGUAGUAAACAUUGUGUUUCAAAAAUGGAUUUGAGGGUUUUUUUUCUUCUUAAUAAACUCAUGACUGAGACUAUAAGGCUGAAUCACCACGCCUAGGAAUUUAUGUGAUUCUUAUGCCGGAAGUAUUGAUGUUGCUGUGCCAAAUGAAAAGUAGCCUGGAGUUUGACUCUCAGAAGGUUUCUUCCUC
rnacentral:lncRNA from 1 species